rnacentral:rRNA from 1 species
GACGAACGCUGGCGGCGUGCUUAACACAUGCAAGUCGAACGAUGAAGCCGGAGCUUGCUCUGGUGAAUUAGUGGCGAACGGGUGAGUAACACGUGAGUAACCUGCCCUUGACUCUGGGAUAACUGCGGGAAACUGUAGCUAAUACCGGAUACGACCCUCGGAGGCAUCUCCUGGGGGUGGAAAGAAUUUCGGUCAAGGAUGGACUCGCGGCCUAUCAGCUAGUUGGUGAGGUAACGGCUCACCAAGGCGACGACGGGUAGCCGGCCUGAGAGGUUGACCGGCCACACGGGGACUGGGACACGGCCCAGACUCCUACGGGAGGCAGCAGUGGGGAAUAUUGCACAAUGGGCGCAAGCCUGAUGCAGCAGCGCCGCGUGAGGGAUGACGGCCUUCGGGUUGUAAACCUCUUUUAGCAGGGAAGAAGCGAAAGUGACGGUACCUGCAGAAAAAGCACCGGCUAACUACGUGCCAGCAGCCGCCGUAA